rnacentral:tRNA from 3 species
AAAGAAUUAGUUAAAAAUAUAACAUUAGAAUGUCAAACUAAAAUUAUUAAAUAAUUAAUAUUCUUUA